GCGCCCUUAGCUCAGCUGGAUAGAGCAUUGGUUUGCGGUACCAAAGGUCGCAGGUUCGACUCCUGCAGGGCGCGCCA
rnacentral:tRNA from 2 species